rnacentral:rRNA from 1 species
GGGGAAUAUUGCACAAUGGGCGCAAGCCUGAUGCAGCGACGCCGCGUGAGGGAUGACGGCCUUCGGGUUGUAAACCUCUUUCAAUAGGGACGAAGGGUGACUGACGGUACCUAUAGAAGAAGCACCGGCCAACUACGUGCCAGCAGCCGCGGUAAUACGUAGGGUGCGAGCGUUGUCCGGAAUUACUGGGCGUAAAGAGCUCGUAGGUGGUUUGUCGCGUUGUCCGUGAAAACUCACAACUCAAUUGUGGGCGUGCGGGCGAUACGGGCAGACUGGAGUACUGCAGGGGAGACUGGAAUUCCUGGUGUAGCGGUGGAAUGCGCAGAUAUCAGGAGGAACACCGGUGGCGAAGGCGGGUCUCUGGGCAGUAACUGACGCUGAGGAGUGAAAGCGUGGGGAGCGAAC